AAAAUUGUCUCUAAAGGAGCAAAUAAAAGUUUUUAAUAACUUUGGCAUAAUGAUCGCUUCCCACAGUUCUCAAUUAAAAAAUUUAAUCUUCGCUCCAAGGAAUGCAAUCAUUAUCGUAACAAGACCGACACCUGUGGGCUAUUUGGAACCAAACAACUUUGCUUUAGGAAUGAGGGAGAUUGACUUAAUAUUCGAGGAUAGUGUGGAUCACCUACCUGACUAUUCUUCUUGCCCUGAAAAACAUGGUUGUAAAAGUCAAAAAAGAUAUAAAACCAAUUAUUGGUUGAAGGAAGAACUUUUUGAAAGAUCCCUGUUAAAUGCAUUAAGUAAACAAAGCAUUACCUGUGGCAACAUUUGGAACCAGAAUUAAGAUCACAUUUUAUA